GGUUGGUGGACUUUUGGGGUACGGGAUAUUUUUGUGAUUUUUUUGUGCUUGAGAGAUAAUUAAAUUGGAGGAGUUUACUCAGGCAAUUAUCUCUCAAGCACAAAGGAUCCUAGGAUUGAAACCCUUGUAUUUUCUGCCUGUGAAACCCCUUGCAUGGGAGAUGACAUAAAAGCUGUGUAUGUGACAAUAAAAAUCAGUUAUACCCCCAGAGCUGAGUGUCGUCCAGUUGCUGGGGAUGAGGUUGGAGAUUCCUGGAUUAUUUUACUGUGUUUGGCUGUUCCAUUGGAGUGUGUUGCCUGUUCC